GGUGGCUCAGUGGUAGAGUGCUUGUCUUGCAUGCAUGGGGCCCUGGGUUCGAUUCCUGAGCACCA
rnacentral:tRNA from 1 species